AUUGAACGCUGGCGGCAGGCCUAACACAUGCAAGUCGAACGAGUGGCGGACGGGUGAGUAAUGUCUGGGAAACUGCCUGAUGGAGGGGGAUACCUACUGGAAACGGGAGCUAAUACCGCAUACCAUCGGAUGUGCCCAGAUGGGAUGAGCGAGUAGGUGGGGUAAAGGCUCACCUAGGCGACGAUCCCUAGCGGUUCUGCGAGGAUGACCAGCCUCACUGUAACUGAGACACGGUCCAGACUCCUACGGUAGGCAGCAGUGGGGAAUAUUGCACAAUGGGCGCAAGCCUGAUGCAGUCAUGCCGCGUGUAUGAAGAAGGCCUUCGGGUUGUAAAGUACUUGCAGCGGGGAGGCGUUACCCGCAGAAGAAGCACCGGCUAACUCCGUGCCAGCCGCCGCGGUAAUUC
rnacentral:rRNA from 1 species